GGUUAAGUGACUAAGCGUACACGGUGGAUGCCUUGGCAGUCAGAGGCGAUGAAGGACGUGCUACCCUGCGAAAAGGGUUGGUGAGCUGGGAUGGAGCGCUAUAGCCAACCAUGUCCGAAUGGGGAAACCCACCUAAGAUAACUUAGGUAUCGUUAAGUGAAUCCAUAGCUUAACGAGGCGAACCGGGAGAACUGAAACAUCUAAGUACCCCGAGGAAAAGAAAUCAACCGAGAUUCCGUUAGUAGCGGCGAGCGAACGCGGAGCAGCCCAGAGUCUGAAUCAGUGGAUGCGUUAGUGGAACGGAUUGGAAAGUCCGGCGAUACAGGGUGAUAGCCCCGUACACGAAGAUGCAUUGCUGUGAGCUCGAUGAGUAGGACGGGACACGUGGUAUCCUGUUUGAAGAUGGGGGGACCAUCCUCCAAGGCUAAAUACUCCUGACUGACCGAUAGCGAACCAGUACCGUGAGGGAAAGGCGAAAAGAACCCCUGUGAGGGGAGUGAAAUAGAACCUGAAACCGUGUACGUACAAGCAGUGGGAGCACCUUCGUGGUGUGACUGCGUACCUUUUGUAUAAUGGGUCAGCGACUUACAUUUUGUAGCGAGGUUAACCGAAUAGGGGAGCCGUAGGGAAACCGAGUCUUAAUAGGGCGUCUUAGUUGCAAGGUGUAGACCCGAAACCCGGUGAUCUAGCCAUGGGCAGGUUGAAGGUUGGGUAACACUAACUGGAGGACCGAACCGACUAAUGUUGAAAAAUUAGCGGAUGACUUGUGGCUGGGGGUGAAAGGCCAAUCAAACCGGGAGAUAGCUGGUUCUCCCCGAAAGCUAUUUAGGUAGCGCCUCGGACGAACACCUACGGGGGUAGAGCACUGUUAAGGCUAGGGGGUCAUCCCGACUUACCAACCCUUUGCAAACUCCGAAUACCGUAGAGUGCUAUCCGGGAGACACACGGCGGGUGCUAACGUCCGUCGUGAAGAGGGAAACAACCCAGACCGCCAGCUAAGGUCCCAAAGUCAUGGUUAAGUGGGAAACGAUGUGGGAAGGCUUAGACAGCUAGGAUGUUGGCUUAGAAGCAGCCAUCAUUUAAAGAAAGCGUAAUAGCUCACUAGUCGAGUCGGCCUGCGCGGAAGAUGUAACGGGGCUAAACCAUGCACCGAAGCUGCGGCAAUGACAUUUAGGUGUUAUUGGGUAGGGGAGCGUUCUGUAAGCGGUUGAAGGUGUGCUGUGAGGCAUGCUGGACGUAUCAGAAGUGCGAAUGCUGACAUAAGUAACGAUAAAGCGGGUGAAAAGCCCGCUCGCCGGAAGACCAAGGGUUCCUGUUCAACGUUAAUCGGAGCAGGGUGAGUCGACCCCUAAGG
rnacentral:rRNA from 1 species